AGAGAGAGACAUGCGCGCAUAUCAAUAAGCGGAGGAAAAGGAACUAACAAGGAUUCCCCUAGUAACGGCGAGAUGAAGCGGGAAGAGCUCAAAUUUGAAAUCUUAAAGGGUUUCCCUUUACGAAUUGUAGUUUAAAGAAGUGUUUUCUGUUGAGGUUUUGGUAAAAGUUCUUUGGAAUAGGACAUCAUAGAGGGUGAGAAUCCCGUAUUUGACCUUUACUUUCAACUUUGUGAUACACUUUCAAAGAGUCGGAUUGUUUGGGAAUGCAGUCCAAAAUGGGUGGUAAAUUUCAUCUAAAGCUAAAUAUUGGCGAGAGACCGAUAGCGAACAAGUACCGUGAGGGAAAGAUGAAAAGAACUUUGAAAAGAGAGUUAAACAGUACGUGAAAUUGUCAAAAGGGAAGCGUUUGACACCAGUGUUGUUUUUCUGAAAAUCAAUUAAAGAACUGUUUAUGCUAAGUUGUUUAGACUUUAUCAGCUAACUGUUUAGUUUUGAGCUUUUCUUUAAUGCACUUUUCAGUUAACAAGUCAACAUCAAUUUCUUUUGCUGUAAAAAAGCUUGAGGAAGGUGGCUUGAGAUUCGUCUUAAGUGUUUAUAGCCUCUUGCCUAUGCAGUCGGAGAGAUUGAGGUCUGCAGCGUAGAUCCUUCGGGGCUAAAUGCAUUUGUGCUAGUUAUAGCAUUUUAUAGACAACUUGUUGACUAUGAUUUGUCUUGUAGCUUACUCGCUUAUGCUAUUUUACCUACGCUUAGGAUGUUGAGCGCAUGUCUCUCUCU
rnacentral:rRNA from 1 species